CAGCCGUAAACAAUGUGCGUUAGGUGUGUCGGUAACCACGUGUUACUGAUGCGCCGAAGAGAAAUCGUGAAACGCACCACCUGGGAAGUACGGUCGCAAGGCUGAAACUUAAAGGAAUUGGCGGGGGAGCACCGCAACGGGAGGAGCGUGCGGUUUAAUUGGAUUCAACGCCGAAAAACUCACCAGCAACGACUGUUACAUGAAAGUCAGGUUGAUGACCUUACUAGAUUUUCAGAGAGGUGGUGCAUGGCGUCAGUGACCU
rnacentral:rRNA from 1 species